CUUAAAAUUAAUUCCAAAUCUCCUUUGAGAACUCAACUGACAUCUCGAGUCUCGCCUCUAUCAUAUGAUUCCAAUGAGCCUGCUAUUACUUCUUCUUCUUUUAACCAGAUUCGAUUAUCCGGAUUCGAUGACAACUCCCCAACCUUAAAUAGAGACCUUUGUUUGUUCCCUAUUUUAAUUGCUCUCCUCAAGUUAAUUUCUCCUCACUGCUGUAUCAAAAGAAUUGAUGCCUAAGAAGUAAGAAGUGUCUGUUUUCCUUUUUCAUCGCUACAAAGUCUUGUUGCUAAAUAUUUGUUGUUCGCUUGCUGCUCUUGUUUAUCGUUACCGAUCGUUCGUUGAAUCAUGGCAUUGUUGAGGCUCUAAUUUGUUCAAAAGAUUGGCCUUUUGGAAUUAAAGGUGAUGAAGAAUUGUGUUUAGAAGAGCUUACCGAUGAUAUUAUGGAAGAUGCUAGCAAGAACAAUAAGCAUGAAUCGAUGGAGGCAUAGUUUUUAAUGGACUUUUUGAUGUCACAAGUUUGAAACAUUUUAGUACUAGUUUAUGUCAUGUUUGUCGUGUUGUUUUGAGUUAAUUUUAGUCAUGUUUGUCGUGUUUUGCUGACUUUUUAAGAGAAAUUAUCGAUGAAAUGAUUAUUUUAUGUU